UCUGAUGGGUGAUUUUAUUGCAG
rnacentral:piRNA from 1 species